GGUAACUUCUGAAUUUGGAUCUGAGCAGCACUGUAAUUUCACUAAGACAUUCUCCUGAGACUGUAUCUAGGCCAUCAGGGAUGCAAGAACUCCAUGACUUCAUCUGGUUUUCUAUCUUGGGCCGUAGGACAUCCAGCAUCCUUUUCAUGGAAUUCAGAAGAACCCCCAACUCAUCAGGGACAAAAUAAAUUUCCCCUGUUCGUUUGGCAAACUUUUGAACAUAUUUGAGGCCAAAGAUCUUUGGUGCAAGACUAUCCUUCAAUGGUGAUAAGAAAUCAGCAUACUGCUUAUCCAAAGCUUCAAUAAUUGCCUUCUCAACAUCUACAAUAGCA
rnacentral:misc_RNA from 1 species